UAAGGGGUUGAUUGAAAUUAUUUAUGUUAUGAUUAUACAUUUUACAAAUCUGUAUUUUUUAUUUAAUUAGGUUGCGAAGAUUUGUACGAAAAGAGAAGCAUACUGUGGAUAAGACUAAAUUAUGUGAUAUAGGCGAAGGAUCAGGGAUGAGUAUUAUAGUUGAAAAAGAAGACAGUAUUGAUGUAGCAAAAGAUACAGAAGAAGAAAAAGAAAUUCAUUCUGAAACAACUCCUGUACAACCUGAGGCUUUACCCUUUCCACCUGUUGAAAAGCCUACAGGUUGGUUUGGAUAUUUAAAGUCAUGGAUACUUUUGCAUUUUUCUGAGCUUAUUGAAGAUUUUACUGAAACAGCUAUUGAAGAUGAUGAUAGUGGUGAAGAUGAUCCAGAAGGAGAUCCCUUAACAGUUCGCAAGCUGAAAGACAAUUUGGUGAGAUUUAGCAAUGCCACAAAGCCAGUUUCAAAUUUUGCAGAAGGUAUAAUAUCAUUGCUAAGAUGGAACUCUCCUGGAACAACAAUGUUGGCAUUUUGUGUAUAUAUGUAUACUGUAUACCAUGGCUGGCUUCUUCCACUUCUACUUUUCCUUGCUAUUAGUCAAUUGACUCUUAACUAUAUAAGGGGCUGGUUCUCCUCACCACAUGUUACUCGAAAGCAAGAACAUGAAGAAGGGGAUAUGGGUGUAUCUGAUAAAUUCCAGUUAGUACUUCAUGUUGCAAGAAAAGUUCAGAACCAAUUGGGUCACAUGGCUAAUUGCUUGGAAAAAAUUAAGAAUUUAAUGCUCUGGCAACAGCCUGAAGUAACUGGACACCUGUAUUUUGUACUGGUUGUUGGAUUCAUUUCUUCAUGCAUUUUCCCUGCUCAUCAGCUGUUUACUGUUCUAGCUUUUUACUUAGGUGUGAAGAUGUUUAUCAUAGAUUAUUUGUUUUAUCGAUUUCCAAGAGUGCAGCAGAAGCAUGAUACUACUGCUAGGCUAUGGAGAUCUUUGCCAACUGAUGCACAGCUUGAAAGAAAGCAUAACCGAGCUGAACUGGAUAAACUUGUGGUAAAUCAAGGUACCAGCCCAGGUGCAUCUCUGUCCUCUGAAAAUCAGAAUUUCUGCGAACUGUUCAAUUUACCUCCAACAGAAACACCACUGCCCACCUGGCAUAGUGGUAGGAGAUGCACUCUUAUUAAUAAGGACAAGUCUUUGACUGCAGCUUUCAAGAAUGGCCGUCUUUAUUUGACAAACAGCUUGGAAUUAAUCUUGGUUUUAAAUUGGCUUUCUCUCCAGUUUCCUAUGUUUUGAAAGGUCCAAAUCAAUUACACCAAAGAAUUUGGUCUUGGCAUUAAGAAACAUAAAUAAAGUCGAAAAGGCAAAACCAUACCCUUGGAUACCAGGUGGUGGAAUGGCUAUUGAAGUAACAAUGAUUGCUCCUGAAAAA
rnacentral:misc_RNA from 1 species